GACGAACCGUCCAAACGUUAUUCGGAUUCACUGGGCUUAAAGGGUGCGUAGGCGGCUCAGAAAGUAGGGUGUGAAAGCCCUCGGCUCAACCGAGGAAUUGCGCCCUAAACUACUGGGCUUGAGGAACGCAGAGGUAAGCGGAACUUACGGUGGAGCGGUGAAAUGCGUUGAUAUCGUAAGGAACACCAGGAGCGAAAGCGGCUUACUGGGCGUUUUCUGACGCUGAGGCACGAAAGCUAGGGGAGCGAACGGG
rnacentral:rRNA from 1 species